UCGAAGAUCAAGAGAAAUUAUGGACUAAAAGUUCUAUAAUUUUCUCGGGUUAUCAGAAAAUAUAGUAUUUCUAAUUUUUAAUUGUUUUGUUAUCACUGUAGAGUUUUAUAGAAUUUGUGUUUUUAUCCUUAGUCAAAAACUAAAAAAAAAAAAUAUGAGAAAUGAAAUCGCAAAGAAGAAAAAAAGCAAACAACAAAGCGAAGAUAAAGAAAAGGUCAAAGGAGUAAUCUUAAAUAUUUAACUUCUAAGAAACCCACCAAACUUAUAACUACCAACUAACAUUCUCAUACAUGCAUAUGCACACUUUAUGAUCCUAUCUUCUAUUGUCCAAUGAGUCUCUAUUAACAUGG
rnacentral:lncRNA from 1 species